rnacentral:rRNA from 1 species
UACGAAGGGGGCUAGCGUUGCUCGGAAUCACUGGGCGUAAAGCGCACGUAGGCGGCUUUCUAAGUCAGGGGUGAAAUCCUGGAGCUCAACUCCAGAACUGCCUUUGAUACUGGAGAGCUUGAGUCCGGAAGAGGUGAGUGGAACUCCGAGUGUAGAGGUGAAAUUCGUAGAUAUUCGGAAGAACACCAGUAGCGAAGGCGGCUCACUGGUCCGGUACUGACGCUGAUGUGCGAAAGCGUGGGGAGCAAACAGG